UUAUUAUUAUUUCAUUUUCAAAUAAUUAGGCGUUGUUCUCUUCGGACGUACGGCGGCGCGCCACUGCCAAAACCACCGCUAUUCGACGUACACGGUGGUGGUCGGUCGUGGUAGUGCCGCGCUGCGUGCGUCUGAAAUGGCCGCCUCUCAUUUCUCUCUUUUGCAUGCAUCGAUUCUUUUAAUAUAUGAUAUCUUUGCUGCAGUACUACUACAAAUCAUAUUAUAUUAUGUGUGAUCUUUAUAAAUAUGUUAAAUUCAUGCAUGGGUUUUCUUGCAUGGGCAUCGUACCCUAAUUUGUUGAAUUUCUAGGUCUUUCUAAUCGAAUUUUUCUAAAAAAUAAAAUAAUAGUGAUAACAAUACAUGAUCAAACUAUCAUUUUACCUAAGAUGUGGUGUGUGUUAAUGUGUGUUAAUGUGUGAAUCUCAUCGGUGCAAUUGGUUACUUAUUCAUACGUGAAAUUAAAUCUUAUCGGUGUGGUUAGUUGUUCUUUCUUACGUGAUGGUGAUGUAAUGACUUAUAAGAUAGAGAUCAUAGAUAUGACUUACCAUUUUCAAUAAUGCAUAUAAGUGAUUCUUGUUUGGUUGUUUAAUUAACUUUUUCUAAAAAGCAAAAGGCUACUGAACAAUUUUGUACAGCUUUAAACACGUAAAUCAGAGACAAACUUCAAAGUAUCAGAUGGGUGGAAGUGUGUGUGUUUGAUGUAGCAUAUGGGAUAACGAAAAUGGGUUGGAAUUCGUAUUGUUAUUUUGUUUACAUGUUUUUCAAUUACUCUUGUUUAGCAUCUUAAUUAAUGAUAUAAUAGGACGAAUAAUCGUUUGUUUGUUUUUUUUUUUUUAUUUUUUAUUAUUUGUAUUUAGUUUGUGAAAAUUGGAAGGUCGUGUUUUUAGGUCAAAGAUUGAAGAAAUGUUGUUGUUGGCGGAAUAACAAUGGGAAGCAAUAUGAAAGUUGAAAAAUGAAAAUAAGAUAUUUUUGCUAUACAAAGUAUAAGUCUUAAUGGCUUUCUAUUGACAUAGAGUGGUAGAUUUAGAGUUUCCAUUAGAUUGGGAAAUGCUGAUUUGAUCGACUGUGGAAGGAAAUGAGUGGCUUUGGCCUCCAAAGUUGAGGCAGGUAACCAGGUCGUCAUCUAGCAGCCUCGACCUCGACCUCGAAGUUUCAUUCGUUCUUUUUUCGUGGUUUCUUCUUUCUUCUUAAAUACAUUUCUUAUCCUUCGUUGAUCCUCACAUAACAAUUGUUAUUCAAGCCGUUUUUACCCUACCUAAUACGUGAGAUUUUGUAUAAUCUUAUAUGGCUUUUCAUUAUAAAUGCAUUUUCAAUCAUAUUUUUGUAGGUUAGAUCAAGGAAUUUGAGAGAUUUAGUCCAAUUUAAUUAAUAACAUUUUUGUAUCUUAGAUUAAGGCAUUUAAGACAAAUCUUUCUCACUUUUCUUCUAUCUUGAAAGCUAGUGAUCGAGUUCAGUCAAUUAGAUUAAAUUGAUUGAUUAAAUUAAUUAAGAAUCGUUUGUUAUUUUGAUCAAGUUUAAUUCUAUAACUCUAUGACUUAUUUUGA